rnacentral:rRNA from 1 species
GCAAGUCGAACGAGAAAGCACUUCGGUGUGAGUACAGUGGCGCACGGGUGAGUAACGCGUAGGUGAUAUGCCUAUUAGUGGGGGACAACAGUUGGAAACGGCUGCUAAUACCGCAUAAGCUUGGUGACAUUGAAAAAACCAAGGAAAGGGGGCUUCGGCUCUCGCUAGUAGAUUGGCCUGCGUAGCAUUAGCUUGUUGGUGGGGUAAUGGCCUACCAAGACGAUGAUGCAUAGCCGACCUGAGAGGGUGAUC